rnacentral:rRNA from 1 species
AUGUCUCCUCCACGAGGACACAACACACAACGGGUAGCAACAAACAAACCGAAAGGGCCGCCGCCGCGGUACGUCGCGUUGUGCCGCGUCGCCAUCGACCGUGCACAACCCCGGACCCCUCUCUCAAGAGAGAAAGCUACAUGCAUCCUUGCCUUGUGGUUACCCUCCCCUCAGCAAUCUGUUCCAAGCACGGUCAUAUUCCGCGGGUUUUUUAAGCUUCAAAAAGCCACCACCAUACCAUGUGUUCUUCUCCCUUGUGAUGACAAGGAGCAGAGGUCAUUAACUAAUGUUCAUUCCAUGAGGCGGCCGGAGAGAAGGAAGACCGUCUUGCUCACUCCGAGGGCCUCUCACCGCAAUAAGAACAAACUUCAAGGUCCUUUCUGCAAAAAGGCCACCCCCACCUCCACAACAGUACAGCGAGUACUAUAA